GACGAACGCUGGCGGCGUGCUUAACACAUGCAAGUCGAGCGGUAAGGCCUCUUCGGGGGUACACGAGCGGCGAACGGGUGAGUAACACGUGGGUGACCUGCCCUCAGCUCUGGGAUAAGCCUGGGAAACUGGGUCUAAUACCGGAUAUGACCUUUCCUCGCAUGGGGUUUGGUGGAAAGUUUUUUCGGCUGGGGAUGGGCCCGCGGCCUAUCAGCUUGUUGGUGGGGUGAUGGCCUACCAAGGCGACGACGGGUAGCCGGCCUGAGAGGGCGACCGGCCACACUGGGACUGAGACACGGCCCAGACUCCUACGGGAGGCAGCAGUGGGGAAUAUCGCGCAAUGGGCGGAAGCCUGACGCAGCGACGCCGCGUGGGGGAUGACGGCCUUCGGGUUGGAAACCUCUUUCGACCCCGACGAAUUUGGACGGUAGGGGUAGAAGAAGCACCGGCCAACUACGUG
rnacentral:rRNA from 1 species